GCUUGCUUCAGCAGCAUAUACUAAAAUUGGAACAAUACAGAGAAGAUUAGCAUGGUCCUUGCACAAGGAGGAUAUGCAAAUUCAUCAAAUGUUCCGUAUUUUU